rnacentral:rRNA from 1 species
CAGUAGCCGCGGGAAAACGGAGGGUGCAAGCGUUAAUCGGAAUUACUGGGCGUAAAGCGCACGCAGGCGGUCUGUCAAGUCAGAUGUGAAAUCCCCGGGCUUAACCUGGGAACUGCAUUUGAAACUGGCAGGCUAGAGUCUUGUAGAGGGGGGUAGAAUUCCAGGUGUAGCGGUGAAAUGCGUAGAGAUCUGGAGGAAUACCGGUGGCGAAGGCGGCCCCCUGGACAAAGACUGACGCUCAGGUGCGAAAGCGUGGGGAGCAAACAGGAUUAGAUACCCGUGUAGUCCCUGUCUCUUAUAC